AACACAACUUCAAAUCCAAACCCAAAGCUAUUUCUGCACUCACUGAUCAUUUUCAUGCAUCUAGACACCGAUUCCAAAUUUAGAGGAGUUGUUUAGAGCUGGUGUCAGAACGGAUUAUUUUAAUACUCUGUAAUUAUCCAUACAGACUGUUAACCACUGUGUCACGCCAACACGAUGGCAGACCUUUAAGUUUAGGAGUCCGAGAUGAUGGAUGAGUCACAGAAACAGAACAAGAGACAGGAUGAUGUAGAGAUGAUCCCUGAAGAAAAACUGGAGGGGGACACAUGUGCAGCUGUAGCCUAGUGAACUAGACCAAAUUCUUGCUUUGCAAAGUUUGGUCUAAUACAUUUAUUUAGUCUGGCUUGCCAGGCUAGUGCAGCUGUGCUUUCUUCAGAAACACAGAUCUGCAUCAAAAGCACAUGUUCAUCACAUUCAGUAAAAAACUGUUUUAACAGAUUUUAAUGUUAUAGGGUCUUUUCUUCAGCUUUGAGUAUAUUUGCUAUGCUUACAGUGUAUUAGUAACCCUGCACUGAUGAAUCAGACAGAUUUAAAAAGUGUCCUCUGUUCAUUCAACUCGGUAACAUAGUUCUCCUAAACACACGCAGCUGCUCGGUGAGUUGUUUUCUUAGUGGACCACACUGAGAAAAUGUGUCUGAUAUUCUGCAGCAGAGCAGCUUUGCAGCUGUUGUUGAAAAAUAAUAAAAACAGAUUUGAUUUAGCUGAAGGGAAUAAAGAGCAGCAGGCAGAACAAAAUCCUUGUCGUAUGAAUUUGUAUGAAAGACUUGUUUGGUCUCAAACUAAGUUUGAAGGGUUAUUUGGGGCCAAUUUAAAGUAAGUUGAUGUACAAAAGUUAGAAAAGGAUAGUGUCUUGUCUGUACUGUUGCAGAGUUCCAGUCUCUAAACCUGCACAGCAGUUUAUGCAACAUCAUUUUAUAAAGCUUUACCGGUGGUUAUUUGCAUUAAAGGUUACAUCACUAGCAGCACACAGUGUUACUGCAGGUGCGUCCAGUAGGAAUUUCCUCUAAGUUCGUCCAAAAUGGCAGCUAAACCAAUGAUGGUGUCUAGUAGAAAUAAGUGGAAAUGGUUUUGAGGGUUAAUGCCGUUUUCAGAUAGUUGUUCAGCUCUGACCGGUGAAAAAGUACUAACUUUAGUUUAAAUGUUUCUAUUUGAAUUCUAUUGAAUGCCAUUCCUCAUGGAAGGUCAGCAGUCACUAGAACGGAAUAGGCCUGAUCAGUGGAGGGUCCAGGACUAGAAUCAUGCUAAUCAGAAUCUCAGUUGACUGGAAUCGCCAGAUGAAAAACACUUCUUUAUUAGUAAAAUAUUCAUGUGAGAUUUAGGAGAUGGGGUACAUUUUUAUUCUGCAAGUCGGCACUUUGGUCUUGAAUCCAAUUAUGGGAGAAAAACAAACAUUUGAUGUUUCAGAUUACUCCGGUCUUCCACAUUUAAAAGCAGAAUGUGCAAACAUUAUUGUUUAAAGUUUUACACGUCCACUCCAUCAAGGAUGCAGUGUAAGGUUAUUUCUGCAAAAGCACUGAGACUUCACAGAAGCACUUGUCAAAGUGGCCCAAAAUGUGUACAUCUGAAGUGCCAAAACAUAUCAGCAUCUUUGUAUAUUAAAUGCAUUUCUUUCACUCUAUUUCUGUCAUGGCUAGUGUUGGUUGUAUCGGAUUAGAUUUGUGCCAAUAGGAUAAAGAAAAACACUUUGAAGAUCAAACAAAUAUUAAGACAUUGAGAGAAAAUGAAAUGUUUCAAAAGAAAAACUUACGAUCUGAAUCAACUUCUUAAAAUGAGUAACAAAGUAUGUUUCCUUUUUUUGUUUGCCUCUAUGUGUUUUUGUUAUCAAUUUCCUGAGUUUCAUUCUCGCUGCUCAGAGCUUUGCUCUCACUACCAGAUUUGCACUUACACUUUCUGGCUUUCUCCUUUGCAAUCCCUGAGUUUUUGGUUGCAAUUCUGACACAACCCUUUCGGUGGGUGGGACUUCUGAGAAGUCCUCUCCCAUAGGACAGUGGUUUCUCUUGAGUGACAGUUCAGUGACCCGGAAGUGAUGUAGCCUAUGACUUUUUUUCCCCCCACCUCGGUCAACAACAUGAAUUUUGAGCCCCAAACACGUUAUUUCUGCUGUCUGUGGUGUCUACUGAGGAUCUAAAGAACCUAUGGAACAUCAGAGACUUUGCAGCUACUGGAGCUAACCUGUGUACUGCUAACUUGCUACAGAGGAAGCAGCAGAAAGCUGAGCUAACAGGCUGUUUUGCAGAUUGAAAAUUACUGCAUUGCAUUACAAUGGAAGUGCUACACGGCCACAUGCAUCAACUGCAGCUGUUGACAAGCAUAUGGACCUAUUGUUCGAGUCUGUGGUGGUGGAUGCUCUACCAUAUCAGGAGUCGGUGGUGGUGGAUGCUCUACCAUAUCAGGAGUCGGUGGUGGUGGAUGCUCUAGCAUAUCAGGCAUCUGUGGUGGUGGAUGCUCUACCAUAUCAGGAGUCUGUGGUGGUGGAUGCUCUAGCAUAUCAGGCGUCUGUGGUGGUGGAUGCUCUAGCAUAUCAGGCGUCUGUGGUGGUGGAUGCUCUAGCAUAUCAGGUGUCUGUGGUGGUGGAUGCUCUACCAUAUCAGGAGUCUGUGGUGGUGGAUGCUCUAGCAUAUCAGGCGUCUGUGGUGGUGGAUGCUCUACCAUAUCAGGAGUCUGUGGUGGUGGAUGCUCUAGCAUAUCAGGCGUCUGUGGUGGUGGAUGCUCUAGCAUAUCAGGCGUCUGUGGUGGUGGAUGCUCUAGCAUAUCAGGCGUCUGUGGUGGUGGAUGCUCUAGCAUAUCAGGCGUCUGUGGUGGUGGAUGCUCUAGCAUAUCAGGUGUCUGUGGUGGUGGAUGCUCUACCAUAUCAGGAGUCUGUGGUGGUGGAUGCUCUAGCAUAUCAGGCGUCUGUGGUGGUGGAUGCUCUACCAUAUCAGGUGUCUGUGGUGGUGGAUGCUCUACCAUAUCAGGAGUCUGUGGUGGUGGAUGCUCUAGCAUAUCAGGAGUCUGACUAAGUACCUGUGCCUGAACCUCUCUGUGUCUAGUUCAAAAGACCUGAACGACCUGCUGUAAUCAGGCACAGGUUAAGAUUUUAAAAGAACCUGUAAGAUGAGCAACACAACAGAAUAUAAAUCUUUAUUAUUAUUGUACGCUGUACAGCUAGAGUAAACUUGCAUGCUCAGAAGCCACGUAUGAUUACAUCGCCUUCAGGUUGCCUGAUGCUGAACUUCGGGCAGCUGCGCGUGACUGUACUCCCGUGGAACAACCGCCUGUUGGAGGAGUCGUCGUGUUGCUGUUAGGAGUUUGGGUCGGAGUCCUGGAUCUAUGGAAAUUCUUUCCUUAAAGCUCCUGAUCACACAACCGUACUGGCAGUCGGCUUACCCACUACCUUCUGCUCACCCGCUUGCUACUCAUGCUGUCAUUCUCCCAGACUUCUGGUUGUUUCUCCACCAUUCUGCUGUCUCCCGUCUGCGCUACAACUUCAGACCGGCCUUCUGAUCUUUAAACACUAAAACCUGUGGCUCCAUCUCUGUGGCGUUUCUCAGUCUCUGUAAGCUACCCGCACAGUCUAAGAAAACCCUGACCUGUUGCCUCUUACUAACCUCUGCUCUUCCUCGCAGAAGCUUCUGGUUCCUGAUCUCCAGCUGUUACCUCUUCAGUCAUCCGUCAAACAUUUUAAUAAACUGUUUUUAGCUCA